GAUUUUCUACUUGGCAAUGCGUUUACCAUCCAAUCUACCACUAAUCGCAUCAGUCCGAUGGAAAAUAUUGCAAAGCUACAGCUGAGCUGUGAUCGGUCUUCUGCCCUGAAAUUGGGAGUGCUUAAUAACAUUCAGCAAGAUCCGUUGAUAUAAUUUAGAAUAAAUUAUAAAAAUCUUUAUAAGAUUAGAGGUAAAUUAUACUCACACAAUAGUUUGAAAAAUCUAUACUUAUUUCUUCUGAUGUUUAAUUUUAUCCAACACUUUAAUCCAUAACUUAGCAGAAUGUUCAUUAAAUUGUUAAUCGUAGAUGGGAUUGGAGUACUAUGGCAGAAAAAAAUGCAAAAAUAUUCAAAAUAAUCUUAG
rnacentral:lncRNA from 1 species